GAGAGGCCUGAAAGCGUCUGUACAAAUGGCUUCCGAGAAGCCCUGGGGAUAAAGGAGCUAGAGGCGGCAACACAUGGUUCCCAGAAGCUGAAUGUUGCGCAGACGACAGGAUAAAAUGACUUCACUCAUCCUGCUUCCACCCUCCGUGCGUGAGAAUUCGCUGCAGUGUAAUUCCAAAAUAGCAGUGACCAAAGCAGCUCUGGGAGCACAGCUGAGCACCUCAGAAGAUAAGUCCUGGGAUGAUUCUUGUCAUCUCCGUGAAAAGGAGAGGACGAAAAGGCAGAGGCUGCUGCCUGAGUGUCCCUUCACCUGGGCUGCGUAGCUUCGCCCAUGCUGACCAAAUUCCCCAUUUCAAGCUUCGGACUCGCGGACGCGCUAGUUAGGGUACAACUUGUUCAGACAGCUGUUUUCAUUCACAUCUCCAAAGGUCCUCUACCUUGGAAGAAGAAAGAAAGAGGGAAAGAGAAAUAAAAGGGAUUAAUUAAGAACACUAGGGCCAGGCACGGUGGCUCAUGCCUGUAAUCCUAGCACUUUGGGAGGCUGAGGCAGGUGGAUCACCUGAGGUCAGGAGUUGGAGACCAGCCUGGCCAACAUGGCAAAACCCCAUCUCUACUAAAAAUACAAAACUUAGUCAGGCAUGGUGGUGGGUACCUGUAAUCCCAGCUACUUUGGAGGCUGAGGUAGGAGGAUGACUUGAACCUGGGAGGCAGAGGCUGCAGUGAGCCGAGAUAAUGCUAUUGCACUCCAGCCUGGGUGACAAGAGUGAGACUCUGUCUCAAAAAUAAAAAAAAAACAAAAAACAAAAAACACAACUGAACCCACAGUUUCAUAAACGGUAAAUAAAAAUGCCACGCACCAUGAAUCAGAAAUAACGCUCUGGGUUGGCAUCUCUCCCCCACCAACCAGGGAACAGAUGCACCCCUUCACCAGGGGCAGCAGAGGGAGGUGGCUCUGUCUUCCUGACUUCAUCCUCCUGUUUCAUCAUCCAGGUUCUGUGUGGCCCAGCGGCCUGGGGCUCUUUUGCUUGUCCCCUCCCUGCCCUCCAUCAGGAGUGCCAAUGGGGCUCCCAAAUGCUCUUCCGCCAUCAUCUAUCCCCCUCCAUUAUGUCCUGAGUCCUCCACGUGCUCAUGUGUGAGCUUGAAGAUCAGACACCACAAGACACUCUUUCCCACUCUGCCUCAGCUGCCAAAUCCAGAGAAGGAAGGAUGGAUCAGACACCGAGACAGAAAAACAGAGUACCUGAGAAAGGCAGAGAGCCAUCCCCUGCCUCAGCCCCCAGAGGCCCCUGUGCCCCUCACUUCCCUCCCCUGAUUCCCACCAUCUGGGGUCCACCUCUGAAUUGACAAACUCUUGCUUGGUCACAUCUGGUUCAAGAGAAGGAAACAAGGAGUUUGGAAACCUAAACUAAUAGGCAGCACUUGGCACGCACAAUAGAAGCAGCUGCUGUUUAUAGCCCUUUUUAAAGGUGGCCUCAGGCCGGACCUCACACUUCCCUCCCUGUGGGGCAUUGUUUUACACAGAGCAUCUGCAACCUCACAGUCUUGCAACUCAAAAAAAAAAAGAAAAAAAAAA
ensembl:lncRNA